rnacentral:rRNA from 1 species
CCUACGGGUGGCAGCAGUGAGGAAUAUUGGUCAAUGGGCGUAAGCCUGACCCAGCCAAGUCGCGUGAGGGAUGAAGGUUCUAUGGAUCGUAAACCUCUUUUAUAAGGGAAUAAAGUGUGGGACGUGUCCUAUUUUGUAUGUACCUUAUGAAUAAGGAUCGGCUAACUCCGUGCCAGCAGCCGCGGUAAUACGGAGGAUCCGAGCGUUAUGCGGAUUUAUUGGGUUUAAAGGGUGCGUAGGCGGCCUUUUAAGUCAGCGGUGAAAGUCUGUGGCUCAACCAUAGAAUUGCCGUUGAAACUGGCGGGCUUGAGUAUGUUCGAGGAAGGCGGAAUGCGUGGUGUAGGGGUGAAAUGCGUAGAUAUCACGCAGAACCCCGAUUGCGAAGGCGGCCUGCUAAGCCAUGACUGACGCUGAUGAACGAAAGCGUGGGGAUCAAACAGGAUUAGAUACCCUGGUAGUC